rnacentral:siRNA from 1 species
AUAGGACUCCGCUGGCACCUUAUG